GAGGAGGAAGUGGAGAAUGGAUUGGCGGUCAUCGUGUGCCGUAACAGCGGCGGGGUUCAGAGUUUGGCUUCUUCCCCCGCCACAUGCUUCCUCCGUCGAUUGGCUCCACUCCCUCAGGCUUGUCACGGGGAGGUAGAAGAUGUCAUCUGGUGGUGUCAUCCCAACAGUCAGGCUGAUUGCUUUCAUGGGUGAGAGAAGAGAGGGAAUGGAGUUUCAGCAGAGUCGACAGGUUGCCACAUUCCCUCGUGAUAUCUUCAAAUAUGGCUGGAGGGAGAGAGAAUUAAGGGGCCCCUUUGAAACCUUCCAACAAAGUAUGAAAUCGCUGCGCACGAGCACUUUGAUCAGCCAACGGUCAAGCGGCGGCCCUGCAGUCGGCCAUCUCUCCACAUUACCGUUGGGAGCCUCAUCCCCAGCACGGUGC